UUUGAGGUUUGGGUAACAUUUUCGGUUUUUGUUUCAGCUUCUCCAAGAUUAAAGCUUUUUGUAUUCGUCGUGUUCUUCUUCACAACACAUUAAAGUUUCAUGAUAUUUUGUUUCAGUAAAAACUUUGACACUCAUUCUUUCAAAUUUGUAAAUCAUGAUUCUUGCGGAUGUUUAUUUGUGUUGUUCUUGGUUUCACAGGCAAGUGAUGUUGAUAGAUCUAAAGGAAAAGUUGUUGAUUUCUUGUCGAUUUUUCUUCACCGUGUUUCUAGAGAUCCUGAGGCUUAUUAUGUUCUGUGUCUCUAUACUCAGUACUACAAACAAGCACAAUUAGAAACCAUGGUUAGUGAAAAAGCUGCCAUAGAAUUUCAGUUGGAGAAGGAAAUUAAGCGAAUUAAGGAAGUAUAGGCAGAGAUCGAAAGAAGUAGAGUUACUUGCCGAGCAUCAUUUUUUUUACUGCUUAUCACUCUUCCAAAUCAUUUUUCUGUUGUUUAUUAGUUGAUUUCUUACAAAUAUCGCUUUUUCAGUUGUUGCACUGAACCUGCUCAUUUAGUUAGCCAACUAACCUUUUUAUCACCAGCUACUUGAGAAUUUUAUCACCAGAUGGCCAUCACCAUUCUCUGUGGUGUUAUGAAUAGCUAAGUUGAUUUUUCUGUCCAUAAUUCAUAAGCCAAUUUUUAUUUUUUAAGCACUUACUCCUACUUAACUUCUGACAGUAAGUUUGUUUACUGCUCAUAUUUUUCUUAAGGUAUUUACUAUAUAUUCAAGUUAAUUGCAGAACCAAAUCAUAGUCUUUCACUUUCCCAUUUUCAGCCUACCAUGUCUGCUUCCCAUUUUCAGCCUACCCUUGUAAGAGGUUAUCCCAAGAACAUUCAAUUGAGGAGCUAGGAAUGACCAAAAAGUGUGAAGCAUGCCAAGAUGGAAUGACCCCCCCACCUUCAUCUUGACUUAUUUUGGUACAAGAACAUUCAGUAAUGUUUAAGUCAGAACCUUUUUUUUCCAAUUAUGCUCAUGCUCAGUUUUGCUCAUGAUAUGGUUUACUAGGGAUUACUUUAGUUACUAGAUUCUAUUCAUGUUAUGACUUGUGAUCAGCCUCAUGUUAUUACUUUGCUUACCUGAACAAUUUUUUGGGUCUGCUAGAAGACCUUUUUUAACCUUUAUUAUAUUGUGACUUAAACUGAUCAUUUAAGUGCAUUAUAUUAUCAAUCAACCCAAACAACUAACAUGUUAU